UAAUUGGCAGAAAGGGCCUAGACAGAACGGAGCAAGUUGGGACAAGGCCACUUUGCGGCUGAUAAAUAACGGUGACGCACUUCAGUUCCACCCACUGAUCAAAAACCCUAACCUUAACCCUAGUUCACUUCAUCUCUUCUGCAUAUUCUUAUGUACUCUGAAAAUCUGAUAGUGUCCGCUGAAAACCCUAGACCCUUCGCGUUUCAGCAACAUCUGUCUUCUUCUUCGUCUACUACUAAUUCGGCCAACGCGAAACCCAUGAGCAAUGAGAUCGCACAGAUGCCUCCCCCUUCCACUCUCGGUUGCAGGUUCAAUGCUAUGCUCAAGCUGCGCGACGACGAGCUCAGGGCCACCGCCGCUCACGUGCCCCCUCCGUCUACGGAAGAAAUCGUUCAGCUGUACGAGAUGCUGCUGUCAGAGCUCACGUCCAAUCAGAAGCUCAUUAUCAACGAUCUCACCUUCAUCGCUGUGCACCAGAGGGAGCAUGCCAGGGGCAUCGCCGACGCUAUCUGCGCUCGGAUUCUCAAGGUGCCUGCAGAGCAAAAGCUUCCUUCACUCUAUCUUUUGGACAGUAUAGUGAAGAACUUUGGACAGGAAUAUGUUAGAUACUUUGCAUUACGCCUGCCCGAAGUUUUCUGUGAGGCAUACAGGCAGGUUCAGCCUCAUUUGCACCCUGCUAUGCGCCAUCUCUUUGGCACCUGGUCAGAAGUCUUUCCACCGUCUGCCUUACGCAAGAUUGAAGCUGAGUUGCAACUUUCUCAAGUAGUUAAUAAUAGUCAAUCGUCCAACAUGAAUCCCCUCAGAGCAUCUGAAUCUCCUAGUCCAAGUCAUGGCAUACAUGUAAAUCCAAAGUACCUGCAGCAGUUGGAGCGCUCAACUGUGGAUAGUGUAAGCUCUUCAUUGGCAUCUCUGUCUUUCAUACAAAAAAUGUCCAGGGGCUAGUCUGACACUUGUUUUUAUCAGCUUAUUCCCCAAGGUUGUAAUUUUUAUAGAGCUGUUUUUUGUACACACGUUACCCCAACCAGAGUAAAUUUUUGUGACAAAUAUCUUGUUUCAUCUCAGAUGUUAGGAUCUUUCUCUACCCGUUCUCCUCUCCUCUCCUCUCUCUCCCUCUCUCUCUCGCUCUCUCUCUCUCUCUCUCACACACACACACACACACACACACACGCACACACACACACACACACACAUGGGCGGGUUCCGGACUGGUGUGGCUGUGGUUGUCGCCCUGUGCUUAGGUGGUUAGCGACUGAGACACAUCCUAACAAGCCCUUCUUUAGUUGCCCCAACUAUAAUACAAGUGGGAAAAAAUGGUGUGGCUUAUUCGUCGGGGAUGAUUGUGUGCAAGAGGAGCUGCUUGAAAAAGCUGUUCCAGGAGAUGAUGAUGGUGAAAGGAAAAUGAACUUUGCAUGGCGGGUGGACAAGAUGGAAGCAGACAUUAGAAAUCUGAAAUUCAUGACUCAAGUUCUUGGGUUUGGGUUGUUGGUAGUUGUAGUUUUUGUAGGAAUGGUGCUCUUAAAGCGUUGAGAACAUGGCAAUGUAACAGAGUACCUAAUUUAAUGAAUGAAAGUUUUUUGGGGUAACAUCACAAGGUUCUGUUAUUGAUGUUAGUUUUCUAUAAUAUAAUAUCCUGUUAGAUGAACAAACAGCACAUGUUAAUAAUUAAUAGAAAGGCUGAUUCAAACCA